GACGAACGCUGGCGGCGUGCUUAACACAUGCAAGUCGAACGGAAAGGCCCUGCUUUUGUGGGGUGCUCGAGUGGCGAACGGGUGAGUAACACGUGAGUAACCUGCCCUUGACUUUGGGAUAACUUCAGGAAACUGGGGCUAAUACCGGAUAGGAGCUCCUGCUGCAUGGUGGGGGUUGGAAAGUUUCGGCGGUUGGGGAUGGACUCGCGGCUUAUCAGCUUGUUGGUGGGGUAGUGGCUUACCAAGGCUUUGACGGGUAGCCGGCCUGAGAGGGUGACCGGCCACAUUGGGACUGAGAUACGGCCCAGACUCCUACAGGAGGCAGCAGUGGGGAAUAUUGCACAAUGGGCGGAAGCCUGAUGUAGCAACGCCGCGUGCGGGAUGACGGCCUUCGGGUUGUAAACCGCUUUCGCCUGUGACGAAGCGUGAGUGACGGUAAUGGGUAAAGAAGCACCGGCUAACUACGUG
rnacentral:rRNA from 1 species